rnacentral:lncRNA from 13 species
UACUACAUCAGCCCCUCUCCUUUCACCUCAGAGCUUCAUCCAGGAGACACUCAUAUCUCUCCUCCACUGAGGAAACAUCAACAUCAUCAUCAUCAUCAUCAUGUCAGUUUUUCAUCGAUUUGAGUCAGUCAUCAUGAUCAGAGGUUUCCUGACGUUCACCCUCUCAUUGUUCUGGCUCACAGGAAGUUCUCUGGGCAGUAAAGUCUUCCAGGUUCCCUCAGCACUAUUGGAAAGUCCCAAUGUUACAGUGAUAAUCAAAUGCAGCCAUACUAUCAGUUCAUACAAUAAUAUAUUGUGGUACCAGCAGUCAAUAGCUGAUUCUAAUCUGAAACUGAUUGGAUUUGUAUUUUAUAAGAAUCCAACAAUUGAAGAUCAAUUCAAACAGCACUUUGAAAUCCGUGGAGAUGGAGAGAUAGAAGCCUCACUUCAGCUUCUGUCAGACCCUGAAAACAGUGCAGUGUAUUACUGUGCAGCCAGCCAACACAGUGAUAACCAUCAACAUGAUCAAGCUUCUCAUACAUGUUGCAACUCUACCACUGUGGGUGACAGGUACUCUAUCACUGUUCAGAUGAAAGAUAUUUACUACCCAAAUAUAUUGCUGUCAAUAUAUUGAGUAAUACUGUAGAUUUUAGUUGUUCUGUUUUCAUCCACAGGGCUGUCACAAACAGACCAAGUCCAGCAGACUCCUACUGCAAUACUAAAAGGACCUGACGAUAACGUUCAACUGAACUGCAGCCAUACUGUUCCAAACUACAACAUGAUACUGUGGUACCAGCAGUCAGAACAAGACACUGCUCUGAAACUCAUUGGGUAUGUGCUACUCACCAAUCCUGCCGUGGAAGAUUCCUUUAAAGGGCGUUUUACUGUGAGUGGAGAUGCUGCAACUGGGAAAAUGGCGUAUCUACAUAUUCCUAAACUGAGAGGAACUGAAGACAGUGCAGUGUAUUUCUGUGCUGCUAGUAAAGCACAGUGUUUCACUAUACCCUCUCUCCUCUACAAAAACCCUCUCUGAUCCUCUCAUAUAAUGCUGACUACAGCUCUAUACACCUGCACCUGUCUUCAACCACUUCAUCAACACUUUGCUCUGAACCACUAGAUAUCAACCAGAUGGUAAUGAUGCUGUUAUAAGUGUCUGGUUUAGAUGGUUUAGCUGCAGCACUUCCUCACUUCUCCACCAAGGAGGCAGAGGUUCUCCACACUGACCUGUAAAAGAGGCUGCAUAGGGUCCCUGGUCCAACGCAGGGUGCUAAUUAUGGAAUAGGAUGAAACAAGAUAAUUGUUAUGUGGUAUUGUGAUGUCAUUAUGGGGUAUUGUGAUGUCAUUAUGGGGUAUUGUGAUGUCAUUAUGGGGUAUUGUGAUGUCAUUAUGGGGUAUUGUGAGGUNNNNNNNNNNGGUUAUAAUGUCAUAUCCUGUUUCUCUAG